CCACUCUACUUGCCUCUUUUUCCGGCCCUUGUUGGUGCUGUGCACACCUCAGCCACUGGGGGAGACACCCAACUUUUCUCCAUCCUGAGACACUGGCUGGGCCAGCUACAGCUGAUGCUCCAUGUCAUAAUGGGCUCGAGGAGGAGGAGGAGGGGACACUGUCUAGCCCAUUGUGAAGCAUGCUAAGUUUAAGCGUGCUGCACAAGAUGCUGCAAGAGCAGCGAGCAGCCAUGGAGGCAACGAGAGCAGCAGUGUCAGCAGCAGCCAGCCACCCAGUGUCUCAGGGUAGAGAGAAAGUCACACAUCUCCCCAUAUUCCUCUCGCUGCCUCCAUAGCUGGGCUUUCAUCAGCAUGGUGUGAACUGAUGACAGGCCUGUUCUGGAGAGGAAUUCUGUGUCUGGCACCUUGUCCUGCCACUGGAUCUUCAGAAUUCUGUGGAGAGGUGUACAAUGGAUCAUCUUUCAGUUCCUGAGGAAUGGAUCCUUGAUUCCAGAAAGAUUGGAACAGAAUCCUCUUCUCUAUUAAAUCCGUCAGUCCCAUGAGGUUUGGCAGGAGAGACAUGCUGCGCACCCUGUUUGAAAAGACUUUCAACUGAUGGGAAUCUAGGAGUGAACCUUUUCUGGCAUAUAGCCAUCCUCUGAAACAUCAUCCCUCCUGAGAUAGAUCUUCCGCAAGCAAAUCAUAUAUACUUGAAAGGUGGCAUCCUUGCUUUUAAGGAAUCGUUAACCCUCGCAGUGAUGUGCAUGGAAGGCAGUAGACAAACAUGACAGAGAGGAGGGAGUCUGGAAUCAACUCUCUGAUCAAGAUUAUUCUCUCAUCCCAUCAAAAAUAAAUAAAUAUCAACAUGCACAUAAAGAAAA